rnacentral:rRNA from 1 species
UACGGAGGGUGCGAGCGUUGUCCGGAAUCAUUGGGCGUAAAGGGCGCGUAGGUGGCCCGCUCAGCGUGCGGUGAAAGCCUGGGGCUCAACCCCGGGUCGGCCGUGCGAACUGGUGGGCUGGAGCACUGUAGAGGCAGGCGGAAUUCCGGGUGUAGCGGUGGAAUGCGUAGAGAUCCGGAAGAACACCGGUGGCGAAGGCGGCCUGCUGGGCAGUGGCUGACACUGAGGCGCGACAGCGUGGGGAGCAACAGG